rnacentral:lncRNA from 1 species
UAUGACUUCCGGUGGUGGUAGAGGGUACCUGCAAGAUGACACUGAUUGCAAGUUCCUCUAGGUGUAUGCAGAAGGAUGGAUUCUGAUGUGGACUGAUCAUUUAGGAAGAGUCAGCAUAUAAUAAUCAAGUUCCGAGAUGACAAGGCGGUGCCUCAGGGAAGAGACAAAUAAGUAAAGGGAAUUAUUGUGGUCAGUUUUUCAUCUCUAUGAUGUAUACCUGAGAGAAACAACUUAUAAGGAAGAAAGACAUUGGUUGGUUUACAGUUUCAGUCUGAGGCCAGGUAGAUUCAUUGCUUUGGGUCAAAGCUAAGUGGGAAGAUUGUGGUGGAGGGGUGUGUACUGCUCAUCUCGUCAUAAAGAGGAAGAGGAAGGCACCGAGACAAUAUAUGUUCUUCUAAAACAUGCUCCUUACAACUCGUGUCCCCUAACUCCCAUGCCACGUAGUUUCUACUACCUCCCAAAAGUCUAUUCAAGUGAAUUAGUGAAUCCAAGUCCAUCAGUGAAUUAAUUCAUUGUUUAGGUCAGAGCCAUCAUGUAGCUCUGGCUCUUCUGGAGCUUGAUAUAGGCUAAGCUGGCCUGGAUUCACAGAGCUCUAUCUUCCUCUGUCUCCUGAAUGCUAGGGUUAAAUGCAUGUACCACCGUUCCAGUGCCCUAUUCCUCUACUAGCUCUUGAAGAGGACUUUUCUAAGAGCAUCUUUGCCCACAGAGCUUCAUCUUCAGAUGUUUAAAGUGACUCAGUGGAAGCGUUGCUUACAGGGCUCAAAUACAGGUGCAGACAAUAAAGCUCUGCCCUGUGUGAGGACCACAGGCUGAGGUCCAUGGUCUCCAUCUUCUUAACUUUGUAGCUGACCUUGGAUCCACAACAUUACACUUGUUUUAAACAAGUAAGUGUAAAGUACUGAAAGAUAAUAAUUUCCUAAAUUCCAAUCUAACAUUAUUUUUUUUGAACAAACCAACUGAAAAUUGAAAAUUCAUUUCUUCCUCAACCUUGGCCUAAAACUCUGAUAAAUAUGAAUAGAGGACUCUUCUUAAUGAAAAUGUACUUUUUUUUUUGAGAAAGGGUUUCUCUGUGUAUCCCUGGCUAUCCUGGAACUCACUCUGUAGACCAGGCUGGCCUCGAACUCAGAACUCUGCCUGCCUCUGCCUCCCAAGUGCUGGGAUUAAAGGCGUGUGCCACCAAUGCCCAGCUGAAAAUUUACUUUUAAUAAAACACUAUUAUCCUAAAAACAGAAUACGUGAAACUGAAGAGUGGAGAGAGCUAUAUGGCAGGGUUUGAAGGGAGAAAAGGAAAGGAAGAAAUGUUCUAAUUUUAAUAUCAAAAUUAAAUUUUAAAAUAGAAUGAAAACAUUAUUUUUUUUCUUUUUUCUUUUUUAUUAGGUAUUUUCCUCGUUGAAUGAAAACAUUAUUAUCACAUGUGGAUAUCAAAAACUCUUCAAAAUAGAAUUUACAUUCAAACACUGAUGAAAUUAAUUCCCUGAGUGCCUUUUCUGUAAACUGGAAAAAAUACACUGUGACCUAUAAAAAAAGCAUAAGAAACCAGACC